UCGGAGCGCCCAGAAAGAGACCGGCCCGGCCGCCAUAUUGAAGCUCAGGAGCUACUGCGGGCCGAGGGAGGCUUCGGGGCUCGUGGAGCUGAGAGGAGGCACGAUGAGAAUGGUGAGGCAGAGGACGGAGGAUUUGAUAGCCUCGAUCACUGGCUGGGGCUGGACGGAGACUACACUGGGGAUGGGCAGGGCCGUCAGACUGGAGAUGGCCUCGCGAGUCGGCGUGAACCUCAACCUGAAGGGGUUGCAUAAGGCCUCUCGGCUUUUUACCCGGGGACCCAGGGAGUCGCUUCACUUCUGGGCGUGGAGGACCCCUUAGCGGGACAAUCUGGACAGAAGGUGUCUGCCCUAAACACACGCACUGAAUCUUCAGACCGCAACGGUUUGCAAAGGGCGUCAAAUGAAUCAUUGGUAGAUAUGAGCGCGCAGGGUUGUGUCUUUGGCCCUGAAAAUAAGAAAGACACGGAGACACCAAAAGAAGUUAGCACCUAAUCUUUCAUACCCACCAGCGAAAGUGAAAGACAUUGAAAAGAGACUACAAGUGUGCAGUCUUACUCAGGACUAACGCCGAAUGAACUAUGCUGAAAUAUUUCAGGUCCUCAAAGUUGGUAACCAUGGAUCAUUAUGCAGAAUAAUGUGUUGUGUUGUGACAUCUGCAUGUAGUUAAUGUUAGUUAAUGCAUUAACCGUCACCUUCUCUUACCCACUUGGUUCCCCACCAAUUAAAGUGCAGUCAAUGCCUUCUUUGGCCUAUUCCAAAUGUAUGAUUAUGUCAAGAACUUUUGAGUCCUUGUGCUCAGCAUCUCAAAUUAUCCUGCAUAACUAAAGUAGUACUGUGUGUUUGUUUUUCAGAUGCUGACGUUCACUAUGGAAACAUGGAAAAUUUUACUUCCUACUGAGUGUUUCUGAAAACUUAAAAAUGCUGAUACGCAUAAUGUGUGUUGCUUAUUCUUCCUCCCUUUUGUAUUUAAUUCUGAAAAAGGAGUUUUAUGCAGAAGAUGUAGCUCAAUGGUAAGGAUUCACCUAGCGUACUCAAGGCCUUGGAUUGGAUCCCCAGCCCUGGUUUGUUUGCGUCAGGGAAAAUACAUACUAUGCCUCUGUUAGAAGUUAAUAAAAUUCAAACGAUAACUACAUCUUCCUUUCAGAAAAUUAACACUGGUUUUUAAAUUGCGAAAAGACAAUAGGAACAGUCAAAGGUAUACGCAGGUGAUGGUUAAAAUAGUUUUCAAAGAUUCAGCUGUAAUGAUGGUAAGUACUAGAAAGGAAACAAAGUGUUUACCAAUCCCUUUAUACCCUUAGAUUUAACUGUAGGGUUUAUAAAUCUUUGUUUUAUAAGACAUGUAUAUGAGCAAUAAUUGUAGUUUGGGUUAUUGUGGAAGACUGAUUUAUUGAAAGAAAAAAUAACAGAUUGUUUGGAAAUAGUGUGGAAAAUGGGACCAAUAUAAUGUAGUGGAUUCUACAAUUUGUCAUGUAAGUGCUUUGAAGUGUUUUAGCCUUAUAUAUAGUGGAUAUUCAACCAUAAAUGUCAAAAAUAUCAGUGUAUUUUAGAAAGACUCAACAAGUUAAGUCAACUUUCAUAGGGAAAAAAAUUCAAUAUUCUUUAGAAACUUAAGGCAAAAAAGGAAAACACUUGACCAGAAAAAAAAGAAGUAUCUCCUCUUUGAUUAAGGUAAAUGUUUGCCACAGUGUAUAUUUCCAUAAGUGGAUGCAGAUGGGCACACCAUUUGAUUUUAGCUAAUGUGUGUUUUUUCCCUUUUUUUUUAUUGGAACAAUAUUUUAAUUUAUUCAGAUAAUAAAACAAAAUUUUUCAUAUUUCUGACAUUCAUACUUUGAAUUGACAAUAGUUAGGAAACAAGUCUCAGGAUAGUAUCCUAGCUGUUGUGUUUACAACAUGUUGGCAUAGAUUUUGCUGCUGGAUUUUCUAUAUGACUUAAGGUAAAUGCAGCAAAUGUCUCAGGGUCAGAAUUUAAAGUCUAGCUGGGUGGUGGUGGUGCAUACCUUUGAUCUCAGAGGCAGAGGCAGAUGGAUCUCUUAGUUCAAGGCCAGCCUGGUCUACAAAGUUCCAGACUGGCCUGGGCUAUACGGAGAAACUACGCCUUAUCUUACCAGAUUUUAACAGGUUUGAACAGUUAAAGGGACACUACACACUAUAGAACAUGUCUUUGCAAGAAUAUUAAUAAACAUGUGUUCCUAGACAUAACCAUUUCAGGAAAUUUAGGUAUGCAGAUGUUUAACCAAUUAUGCAAGUGGGUAUGUAUUCAUAGGCCUUAGUUUGAGAUGCUAUCUUAGUGAACUUGCUGUAAAGAGUAAUCCUCUGUGGUGUAUCUUUUUUUAUAAACAAUUUAAUUGAAAUUCACAUAUGCAGUUCAUCCAUUUAAAGGGUGUAGUCUAAUGGGUUUUAGUUCGCUCAGAUUUCCAAUGGUCAGCACAAUUAUACAAGAAAACAAAACCAUUUGCUUGUAAGUAUAUAGAAAUAAUUAGCAGGAUUGGGGUCUUUCUCUAAAGUGGUAAUAUACAAAGCUUACUAUUGUGAGUAAAGUUGACAUAGAGUACCUCAAUUGAUAUAGAGUACCUCAAUUACAGUUGCAAUACUGCAAGUAAAUAGCAUGUUCUUUGUAUGUAAUAAGUGGGCUUUACUGGCAACAGACUAUUAUGGAUAAGUGACAAUUAUAUGACACAACACUGUCAUAGCUGAGAAGUCAUUGAGGGUGGUGCACUGUUUACAUUGAUUGCUUUCUGUUUCUGUAUGAUUGUCAUACUGGGCAUGAUGCCUUUCUUGAAUUUUAGAGAAAUGAGGCUAUUCCAUUUUCAGUGUUCAUGUUUGUCUUUCUAAAAUUCUGCUUUUUUUCUAUUAGUGCUUUUGAAGUGGUUUCUGAACUUUUUUUUCAACUGGUUGUGUUUCCUCAUGAAGGCGUCCUAGAUUUUAUUUUUCAUAUAAACUUUGAAUUAACAACAUAGUGAAAAGUCACCAGAUUUGGGGUUUUAGGAAUGAAUCAUGGAAUAGCAAAAAGUGGUUGCUAAAUAAAGAUAGGAGGUUUGGAUAUGAAAAAAAAAUAUUGGUAGGGACAGGCAGAAAAAAGAGGGCUUCCUUAAGAUAUUAGAAGCAACAACCUAUUUACUUUUAAGGAUUUAUAUGUAUGGCUGUUUUGCCUUCGUGUUGUAUGUGCUUGGUACCCAUGGAGGUCAGAAGAAGGCAUCAGAUUCCUCUGGGAACUAGAGUUAGAGAUGGUUUUGAGCCACCGUGUAAAUGCUGACAGCUGAACCUGAUACUCUGCAAAAGCAGCAAGUGCUCUUAACCACUGAACCUUCUAUCUCACAACUAACCCCACCCCACACCCUAACUGGGAUCCUUAAAACCACUAUUGGAGAAAGCAUUAAAUGUACAUUGAAUAGGACUGGUGUCUGCCCAGCUACAUUUUCCAAUGUCUGUUAUUGACAGGAGAAAUCCAUGAUAUUGAAUUUAUUAGGUUACCUAUGUGGGAUUGUGCCUGUAUGAAAAAUGCAAAAGGAGAAAAGAAACUGAUAUCACAGGCCUCUGCAAAUGUCUUUAAAUCCGUUUAGCUUUUUUCUAGAGACUUAACUGGAAGGAUAAAUGAAAAUGGAAAAACAAAACAAAAACACUAAGUAAGAAUUAUAAUGAAAAACUUUUAAAAGCAUCAAAGGAAGUUAUUCAUUACAAAGUCCUGACACUGUAGUCCAUCCAGUAAGUUCAAAUGUAGAUACUUUUGAUCUCAUCAGAUCUGUAUCUUCUGGUAUUGGUGUAACCUGGAAUUUUUUUUCUUUUUAUUUAUUUAUUCAUUUAUUUUGAUGGAGGGGUUCGAGACAGGGUUUCUCUGUGUAGCUGUGUAGACCAGGCUGACCUCGAACUCAAAGCUCCACCUGCCUCUGCCUCCUGAGUGCUGGAAUUAAAGGCAUGCACCGACACCGCCUAACCUGGAAUAUUUCUAAGGAAAGACAAUAUGGCUGCAGAUUAAAUUGCUGUGCUAUAAAUUAACAUGUUCUGAACUCCAAAAAAAAAAUUGCAAGGCUCAUAUAGGAUUCGCCAAAUCUCAAUUUUAUAUUCAGAUUACUAUCUGUUCCUAGCAACAAUAAGACUGAAUCUACCAAUCUCAUAAUACUUCAGCUAUUGGGAGUGAGGGAGACAAAAUAACUUGCUUUGAAUCUGGGCACCUAGGUUCAAAUAGUCACUUGACACCACACCACCACCUACCACGGUCUCUGUGUAGCUGCGGCAGUCCUCGAACUGUCUACGUAAACCAGACUGGCCUCAAACUCAGAUCCAUCUUGGCACCAUUUUGUCUGCAAAGCUAGUUAUGGUAACUAAUAACUGUGCAGUAGUCUAGAGUAAAUUCCAAAUAACUUAAGUAGAAAUAAGUUACUUUGUUUUGAGACAUUUUCUUUCUGUCCUGGAACUCACUAUGUAGCUCAGCCUGACUUUGAACUCUGAGAUCUUAUCUCUGCCUCCCUAGUACUGGGAAUAAAGGCAGGCAUCAUCAAGCCUGGCAUAGAAAUGAGUUCGCGGUGGCUGUCAUAGUUGAAGGAAGUAAAUUUGACUUCAGAGCUAUGACAGGAUUGGCUUAAAAACACAUUUGACAGAUAGGAAGUUAUUCCUCUGCUAACACUGGAGAUGUCAAAAUACGUAUACUGGUUGAGGUCUAUCUAAAGUUUGUCAAACCAUUUCUCCUGUAUAUCAUGGUGGGUAAGUAUAUACCUGUGAUCACCACUUAACAGCAAAAGGUUGGGUUUGUCCAUUAGCGUGGGCUUUAGAAGUACAAAGAUGUGUCUCGGUUCUAUAUGAUGUUGGUUUAAUUCAUUCUGGGCUUUUAAUUAUAUAAAAAUUAAGGAGAUCAUCUGUACCCAUUUGGGAGAAAUCGUGUGCAGAUAAACCUGAGGUUGUGCAGGUGGGAUGACCUGCAAAGUCGUAUGUGUGAAAAAAUGUGUUAGUGCCUAGACUCUUCAUCUCUGUACUGACCAUCUAGUAAUUUAGAAAAAUGAGGCUUGAGUCAGACCUUAACUUUAAACUGCAUCUAGCACAAUGCUAAGUCCAACCCCCCUGAGUUCAAGCCCAGCAAGCAGGGCCACAUGAUGAGAUCCUGUCUCAGAAAACACCAGUGUGAUGAUUUCUCGAUGUUAGGUUGUCUUAAUUCACUCUUUUCCUGUCCCUCCCAGACGCUUGUAUUGAUCCUAUGUCUUUGUGUGUACAAACAAGUACUUGCUCUGCCUCUGCUAUAUGUGUGGUGUUCUUUCUAUUUUUUGAGUCAGUCUGACGAAUAGCCCAUGCUAGAUUUGAACUUGACUGAAAAUUCUUGAUUGUAUGCUUAGCUGUUAAUUCAUCCAUGCCUAUUGUAUUCCAGUGUGUCUCAUCCUUGUUGUGAUUUCAAGACAUACCAGAUUUUUAAUAUUCAGUGAAGAAUAUGAUUCCCAUAAGCAAGUGUUGCUUAGAUUCAAAGAGUAUAUAAUUAUUUUAGGGAAAUUAUAAAUCAUGUUUAAUUUUUUAUGUUGUUAAAACAGAAAGUUGUAUUGGGUAAGAAGGGGCCCUGUAAUUGAUACUUUUAACUAUCAGUAUUUGGUGGUGAGUACUGAGCCCAAGGACCUGGAGGUACAAGGAUUCCUCUGUUCCUCUAAGUCAUGAGAUAACCUGUUUAAGUGUCAUGGAUCUUUUUUUGGGGGGAGGGUUCCUCUAGGCUUUGGAGGCUGUCUUGGAACUAGCUCUUGUAUACCAGGCUAGUCUUGAACUCACAGAGAUCCACCAGCCUCUGCCUCAUGAGUGCUAGGAUUAAAGGCACUCGACACUACACCAUGGAUCUUUUUUCCAAUCUGCUGUAGUCUUAGAUCUCUUCAAAACCAAAACUUAACAGUGUGUUGAAUUAGGAAGAAAGUUACCAAAAAUCUUAAAAUUUUAAUCUUUACAGAGAAGUACUUAUUUUAUUAACUAAUGAUACUUAAAGGCCUCAAACAACGUCCAGCAGACAUUUCAAGCUUCCUGAAGCAGUAUUAUAAGGAAGUGUCACUUCAGUUGGGUUAGCCAUGAUUACUGCCAAUACUAUAACUUGUUUACACUAAGAUUUUAUAAGUACAAAUAAGCAAGGCAUGUUGGCACAUGCUUUUAAUCCUAUCCGUCAGAAAGCAGAGGCAGGUGGAUCUCUGUUGGAGACCAACCUAGUCUAUAAAGUGAGUUCCAGAAUAGCUAGAACUAUUGCACAGAGAAACCCUGUCUAGAAAAAUCAUGCAUUGAAAUUUACCAAACAAACUAUACAUGGGGUGUUUAUACAUUUAGUAAUGUUUUUAUUUGAGAAUUCAGUACAUUUUGGUGAUAUUCUUAACACUUCUACCACUUCUCUAAAAGAUAAAUUUGACUGGGAUAGGGGCAAUACACACCUUUGAUCCAGCACUUGGGAGGCAGGCGAUCUCUGUGAGUUGGAUCCCAGCCUGGUCCACAGAGCAAGUUCCAGGACAGGCUCCAAAGCUACACAGAAAUGUCUCAAACAAACAAAAAAAAAUGAAUAACUUAAAGUAUUUUUGAGCCACUAACUAUAAGCCUCUGAUUUAAAACCUUGGUUAAGUUUGGGUUUUUUGGGGGGAAGGGAGGUGGUUCGAGACAGGGUUUCUCUGUGGCUUUAGAGGCUGUCCUGGAACUAGCUAUUGUAGAUCAGGCUGGUCUCGAACUCACAGAGUUCUGCUAGCCUCUGCCUCCUUAGUGCUAGAAUUAAAGGCCGGUGCUGCCACCGCCUAGCUGGUUAAGACUUUUUAAUGGCAUCCAUUGAUAAUUUCAUAUAUGUAAAUAAUGUAACUUAAUUCUAAUAGCCAUUCCCGUUACUGUGUCCAAGGCCAAUUAAGCCAAAUGUAGUGGUUCCUAGCAUUUUGGCGGCUGGGGUACUAGGAUAUACACCAGCCUGAACUAUAUAGGCCUUAUCCAAAAAAAAAAAAAAAAAAGGAUCUCAGCACUGAAAAUUUAUGCCUUAUCACUUAUAAUUCAAAAUGCUUGUAAAAUUAACUUGAGGGGCUGGAGAGAUGGCUCCGUAGUCAAGAGCAGUGGUUGCUCUCCUAGAGAACCCAGAUUCAAUUGGCUGCACCCACAUGGCAACUCACCAAGGGCUGUAAAUCUUGUUCCAGGGGACUCUGGGUACCAGACAUAACAUGCACAUAGUAAAAACCUUUAAAAAUGCAUGAAUUUAGUAAAUCUUUCAAGUCAUUCAUUUGUUUCUUACAGAUCCAAUCCAGUGUCUGGAAAAAUGUGGGCUUGGCUGUAUCUUAGUGCACCUGGUGCAUACAUAAUAAGCUUAGUGACACAAGUGAAUAGAAGAGCAAUAUUAGAGAAUAGUAAAUUCAGGGAGCAUCAUGGAAAUUAUAUGAGAUUACGCUGCUCAGUAAAUAAGCACUGGAGUUGUUUAUAAAUGUAAGACCAUCUUAAGGUUACAUUCUCAACAGAAAACAAAUAUUGACAUAGUAUUUAGAUACUGUUUUCAUUUCUUGCUACAGGAAUUGCCAUAGGUUUUGAAGUUAAAUCUCAAAUCCAGGUAACCUGAGCAGGUAAACCUAAUGAGUUUGAACCCCAGAACCUGCUGUACAAGGAGGACCUUCUCCUGAAAGCUGUCCUGAACUUGCAUCUGCCAGUGUAAAUUCUGGCACUUAAACAUUAUGUACUAACAAUUUAAAAAGAAAAGAAAACCUUAAGAAAAAGUCUGCUUGGCAGUAUCUGUUAACAAGAAGAGGUGAGAAUUCAACCUAGAAUCCACUGCAUAGGAACUGCUACACAAGAGAAAGCAAAAAUAAAAUGACCUUGAGUAUUUCAGCUCUCUACACAUGUCCCAAAGAGGUGCAGCAACCAUUGUCAGACAGACCUGGUGACAAAAGUUCUGUUAAAAGCAUACCAUCUGGGCUGGGCAUUAGUGGUGCACGCCUUUAAUCCCAGCACUCGGGAGGCAGAGGCAGGAGGAUCUCUGUGAGUUCGAGACCAGCCUGGUCUACAGAGCUAGUUCCAGGAUAGCCUCCAAAACAAUACAGAGAAACCCUGUCUCGAAAAACCAAAAAAAAAAAAAAGCAUACCAUCUGUACAUGGUUUCAUAAGCAUACCAGGACUUGGGACCUUUUGAGUUCAGAACUGGCUUGUAGAUACCAAGAUUAUGUCUCAGAAAACAAAUCCUGGUUGCUGGGAUUAAAGGUAUGUGUCACCAUUCCUCGCUUAAAACUGCAUACAUUUUUAAGACUUUAAAUGUAUACAAAUAUUUAUGCUGCAAUAAUUUUCUCUAUCUUGCCUUCACAGUGUAAUCAUCCUUCAAGAAAAAUGGUUGGGAGAUUUUUGGAGUGUGUGUUUAUACCUCACAAUUCAACAAUUAUUAAUUUCUUCACACACAAAUACGUUUUCACAUGCCUGUCCAGAAGGAAAAGCACUCUAGGCAGAAACAUUGUUUAGACAAAGAAAAUAAAGGUGAAGACUGAUGCCCAAAUCCCUCUGAUCCACAUAGGGAACCCUAGACCAGUAUCUAGUGUUUGAAGAAGAAAGAAUUUAACAAGAAAAUUGAGUACUUAUCAGUACUGGUAUUACUGUGAGUGGUCUGUAGUAACAGAAGCCCAUUGCAGAGGUGGGUGGGCACAUUAUAAUACACACAUGGACACUGCUAUUCUAAGCUCCAAGAACUUGAAUGCUGUGUUGGUAGUGAUCCUUAGCACAUAGGAUAAAGGACUUCUGACCGAUCAUUUCAUUUCAGAACAGUUGUCUACUUGGGUCAUAAGUACUGUAAAUAUAGUGGAUAUGUCACAAUUUCAGAGUAACUAUUGGCUUUUUAAGACAAGAUCUUAUAGCCCAGGUUGACCACAAACUUUACGUUCCAUCUGCAUUUGUCCCCUGAGUGGUAGUAUUUUUUUUAAUAAUAGUUCACUUUUUGUGUGCAUGGAGGAUAUGUGUAUAAGUGCUGAUGUUGGAGGAGGUCAAAGUUCUCACUGGAACUUAGGGUACUGUGAGGUAACCAGAUUGCAUGCUGGGACCCAAACUCCAGCUGACUGCUAGAGCAGCAUUCAUUCAUUAGCCACUGGGCCAUCUCUCCAGCUCCUUGAGAGCUACUUUUUUUUGAUUUGUAGUUCAUUCAGUCCACAUAUUACUGAAUCUGCUCCCACCCAGUCUUUUGAGACAGGGUUUCUGUAUUGUUUUGGAGCCUGUCUUGGAACUCGCUCAGUAGACCAGACUGGUCUCAAACUCACAGAGAUCCACCUAACUGCCUCCCGAGUGCUGGGAUUAAAGGCAUGUGCCACCAACGCCCGGUGAGACAGGUCUUGACUUGCCUACCUUAGUUUAUACUUUAUAAUCCUCUUGUUUCAACCUUGCAGGGCCUGGGAUUACAGGCUACCAUACCCUGGUUUAAGAAUAAUUAGGAUCGAGGUGUGGUGGUGCAUGCCUUUAUUUCCAGAAUCUGGAAGCAGAAGCAGGUGGAUCUCUGAAUUCAAGGCCAGCUCGACCUACAUAGAGUCCCAAGACAGCUAGAGCUACAUAAACUUGACCAUUUUUUUAACCAUCUAGGAACAAAUACCUUUAUUACUUGACCUGGAAAUUGUAAUCUAGUGAGAAACUAAUAGAGGUAGAAAAAUUACCAUCAGAAUGUAUAAUAUCCUCUGCAAAGCUAAUUACGACAGCUAGUUUCUAGCCCCUCUUUUACUGCAGCAUGAUUUGCACACACUAGCAAGCUGCAAUUAGCAGCCAGCCAGUGUUGGUACAUGAAUAUGCUCUUUUCUUCUGCUUGGCAUAUACACAGUUGUAUAAUUGUUUAAUGUGUAAUUGCUAAGUUACAAAAUACUGAUGGGUCACUUAGAUUUUUUUGUUUUUGUUUUUUUUGUUUUGUUUUUACAAGACAGGGUUUCUCUUUAAUGUUUUGGAGGCUGUCGGUCCAGCCCAGCCUCCAACUCACAGAGAUCCACCUGCCUCUGCCUCCCGAGUGCUGGGAUUAAAGGUGUGCGCCACCACUGCCUGGUGUUUUUGUUGUUUGUUUGUUUGUUUUAGAUCUUAAUAUUCAUUUGGCUUACCACAUAUUAUCUUAAUUUUGUAAGAUUUUACACUACCACUUUUUUUAGACCAGGAAAUACCAUAGAUUUCUUUAUACUGUAUGUGAGACUCAGUCCUUUGUUCCCAGUGUGACAGAACUAGUUUGCAACAAGGACAAGUAGAACAGCCCGUGUAUUUUAGGAGUAGAAUGUGUGAGGGACUGAAGAGAUGGCAGAUCAGUAAAGAGCAUAUGCCCUUGCAGAAAUCCCAGUACCUAUAGCUGAUGUCUCACAACCCUCUGUAACUACAGUUCUAGGGGAUCUGAUACCCUCUUCCCUGCAAAAGCAUCUGCAUGCAUGUGGUGCAUAUACACUCCGGCAUAAAUGAAAUCUUAAAUAGGUGUUAAAGUUUGUCAUAGUGAAUGCCAUGACCCUAAAAGCAAUACAGUAACAAGUAUAUCUUCUAAAGGUAUGCCUGUAAAAUAUCUCUAGAAUGAGUAAAUGAAAAGGAGUUCUGCCCUCAACUGAGUUUAAUUCAUUUUUAGAUUUUUCAAAACUGAGUGCUUUGUGUUCCUGGUGCCAACAAAGGACAUAAGAGGUUGUUAGAUGCAGGGCGUUGGUGGCGCAUGCCUUUAUCCCAGCACUUGGGAAGCAGAGUCAGGCAGAUCUGUGAGUUCCAGGCCAACUGGUCUACAGAGUGAGUGCCAGGAUAGGCUCCAAAGCUACACAGAGAAACCCUGUCUCGAAAAACAAAAAAAGUGGUUAGAUUCCCUGGAACUGGAAUUCUGGAUGGUUGUAAAUACCACCACCACACCACACCCCCAAAGGUGAGUGCUGGGAUACUAAACCCAGGACCUCUGCAAGAGUAGCAUGUUCUUAACCUCCUAGCCCCUAAUUAACAACAACAACAAAAAAUCGUUGGGGGGGUUUCAAGACAGGGUUUCUCUGUAGCUUUGAACCUGUCCUAGAAUUUGCUCUGUACACCAGGCUGGCCUAGAAAUCUGUAUGUUCAAGGUUCUGGGUUUGAUCCCCAGAUGGCUAUUUCCAUUGACUGCCCUUUAACUCAAAAAGAUUCUGCCUGCUUCUGCUUCCUGAGUGCUGGAAUUAAAGCAUGUGCUACCAUGCCCAGUCCUGACCUAUGUUCCUAUUAUCUAAAUAAGGUUUUCUAUCAUAACCCCAGCAAUAUGAAAGGAUAUUGAAGGAUCUACCUUUACAUAUUCUAGCAUUAAAGCUCAACUAAUUGUGUAAGUAGUGGUUUCUUUCCCUCUGCACUCUUACUUGUCCACUUACAUUUGUGAAGUAAACUAUAUUGGGAAUUAGCUCGGUUGGUAGUGUUUGCCUAGUAUGCAUAAAGCCCUGUGUUUGGUCCACCAUUGCAAUAAACAGGCAUGCCUGUUAUUCCGACACUCAGGAGGUAAAAGCAGGAGGGUCUUCCUCACAUCAUGAGCUCAGAGGCCAGCCUAAGAUUCUCGGGGGUUGUUCUGUUUUGUUUUGCUCUGUUUUGUUUUUAAGAGAAGCUUUGCAAUAAAAUAUCACUAAGUUGUAAACUUCCUUUAAAAUUGGGAACUAAACAAUUUCACAUUCCCUUCUGGGCUCAAAAUAAGUUUUUUGUUUCUUCAGGAAAUAUACAUUGGGUAUCCACUAGGUGUCAGAUAAUACAAAGGUAGAUAUUCUGGGGACACCAAGAUAAAAGUAUCGUCUGAGAACCUAACAGCCUUACAAAUAGAUUAAAAAAUAGAUCUGCACACCAAAGGAAGUUGUUCAAGUACUAUAAAGGUGGGGUUUAAAUGAGUCCACAAGACCCGAGAUAAAUGAUUAAUGAGUAUUAGUGAAGCACUUACACAAUUAAUAGCAAAUAACCACCAUAGUCUUUUUGCUCCUAAAGAUGCAGUCUCUGCCCUUCCAAAGUUCCUACUACUGCCCAAGAGAGCCAGCCAAUCCCUCCUCCUCUUCCUUAUAAGGGGUCACAUCUGCACACCUGAAGCCACGCCCCUAGGAUGUGGCCACCACUGCAAGUCUUCUAGUGAAACAAGAUGCCACUACAGUACUAUAUUGACAAUGAUAGAACUAUUAAUUUUACAAUAUAUAUUCAUCAAUAUCAGGCCAAAUUCAUGCAGGCCUAAGUUAUAUAAAAUGGCUUAAAGACUGUAGAAGUCAAGUGACAUGAUAGUACUAUGAGUAGGAAGCUGAGAAUAAUAUACUGAAGAUAAGCUUCCAUGCAGGAUGCUGGAGUAAAACCUACAAUCUUCUAAA